rnacentral:rRNA from 1 species
GACGAACGCUGGCGGCGUGCUUAACACAUGCAAGUCGAACGAUGAAACCUAGCUUGCUAGGUCGAUUAGUGGCGAACGGGUGAGUAACACGUGACUAACCUGCCCCUCUCUCUGGGAUAACGCUUCGAAAGGAGUGCUAAUACCGGAUACUCACAUCGAGGCACAUGCCUUGAUGUGGAAAGUUUUUCGGAAAGGGAUGGAGUCGCGGCCUAUCAGCUUGUUGGUGAGGUAACGGCCAACCAAGGCGACGACGGGUAGCCGGCCUGAGAGGGCGACCGGCCACACUGGGACUGGGACACGGUCCAUACUCCUACGGGAGGCAGCAGUGGGGAAUAUUGCACAAUGGGCGCAAGCCUGAUGCAGCGACGCCGCGUGAGGGAUGAAGGUCUUCGGAUUGUAAACCUCUUUCAGUAGGGACGAAGCGAAAGUGACGGUACCUAAAGAAGAAGCACCGGCUAACUACGUGCCAGCAGCCGCCGUAA